GCUUGAUUCGCAGCAGGCUUGCAAGACUGCAUUCUUAGGUGCUAGACUUCUCAAUAGAUAACUUCAAGGAGCCCAGCGCCAGGGAGUGAGGCCCUCAACAAACCUUUUGGUGGCAGGGCAGUGUGAGUUUGCCCACAUCCUGCAUUCAUGAUAAACAGUUUGCUGUUUGAUCCUAUAGCCUCCAGCGAAAUGCUGAGUUGGUCACUUCCCAGGGGCCUUCAGCUCCCUGCACCUCACAUUCUGUAUUUGUCCUGAUUAGCCAGCAACUUAGAACUUUUUAAAAGAGGCAAAGGCAGAGGAGAACAAAGGAGGAAGUAACUUGUGGAAUGCUGAGAAAGGUAAAAACACCUCCAAAUAAGGAAGAGGAACAGACUAUGACUUAAUACUUGCUUGGACCAGUGUAAGCAUGCCAGGGCAAAUAUUUAGGCUAAAUUGUGGGAGCUAAGAACACAAAGUACAUUGAUUUCUUUAUUAUAGCUAGCAGAUAUCUAAGAAUGUUAGCACAGGUCUUUGAAUAAAUUUUGUUUCUGAGAGAAGUUACUAUUUAUUCCUAAUUAGACGGGGAGGAAAGUCUCUUUGAAGAGGAACCUCUAUUUUAUUUUUACACUCAGAAGCCCGGGCAGCUCUGCCGGGAGUGCAGGGAGGCAGCUCUCCUGGGGGUGCAGAACACAUUGGAUACACCGGUUAUUUUACCAAGGCUUUGGCUGGAAUGUUACAUUUUUGAAUGUGACCAAACUGCUUUGAGGAAUUGAGGCUGACUUUAUAAAGCCAAUAGACAUGGGAAAGACUGGCCUCAUGCCUUGCCCACACGGUUCUCUUACAAGGUUCCUCAGCUUGCGGUUUUGGUAUCAGGAUGACACCAAAAGCAAUGGCAACAAAAGCCAAAAUUGACAAAUGGAAUCUAAUUAAACUAAAGAGCUUCUGCACAGCAAAAGAAACUAUCAUCAGAGUGAACAGGCAACCUACAGAAUGGGAGAAAAUUCCUGCAAUCUAUCCAUCUGACAACGGGCUAAUAUCCAGAAUCUACAAGGAACUUAAACAAAUUUACAAGAAAAAAGCAAACAACCCCAUCAAAAAAUAGGUGAAGAAUAUGAACAGACACUUCUCAAAAGAAGACAUACAUGCAGCCAACAAACAUAUGAAAAAAAGCUUAUCAUCACUGGUCAUUAGAGAAAUGCAAAUCAAAACCACAAUGAGAUACCAUCUCAUGCCAGUUAGAAUGCAGAUCAUUAAAAAGUCAGGAAACAACAGGUGCUGGAGAAAUAGGAACGCUUUUACACUGUUGGUGGGAGUGUAAAUUAGUUCUACCAUUGUGGAAGACAGUGUGGCGAGGAUCUAGAAUCAAAAAUGCCUUUUGACCCAGCAAUCCCAUUACUGUGUAUAUACCCAAAGGAUUAUAAAUUAUUCUACUAUAAAGACAUAUGCACACAUAUGUUUAUUGCAGCACUAUUCACAAUAGCAAAGUCUUGAAACCCAAAUGCCCAUCAAUGAUAGACUGGAUUAAGCAAAUGUGGCACAUAUACACCACGGAAUACUAUGCAGCCAUGGAAAAGGAUGAGUUCAUGUCCUUUGUAGGGACAUGGAUGAAGCUGGAAACCAUCAUUCUCAGCAAACUAUCUCAGGGACAAAAAUACAAACACCACAUGUUCUCACUUAUAGGUGGGAAUUGAACAAUGAGAACACUUGGACACAGGAAGGGGAACAUCACACACUGGGGCCUGUUGAGGGGUGGUAGGUGGGGGGAGGGAUAGCAUUAGGAGAUAUACCUAAUGUAAAUGACGAGUUAAUGGGUGCAGCACACCAACAUGGCACAUGUAUACAUAUGUAACAAACCUGCACAUUGUGCACAUGUACCCUAGAACUUAAAGUAUAAUAAUUAAAAAAAAGAAAUUUGAUCCCCAAUGUUGAAGGUGGGGCCUAGUGGGAGAUGUUUGGGUCAUGGUGGUGGAUCUCUUAUUAAUAGACUGAUUUCCUGGGGUGAUGAGGGGAGUGAGUGAGUUCUUAGUUUGUUAGUUCUGCUAGAGAUGGUUGCAAAAAAUAGCUUGACACCUUCCCUCUUUCUCUUUUUUUCACUUCCUCUCCCACUGUGUGAUCUCUAUACUCUGCCUCUCCUUCCCCUUCAGCCAUAAGUGGAAGCAGCUUGAGGUCCUCAUCAGAUGUAGAUGCUGGCACCAUGCUUCUUGUACAGACUGAAGAGCCAUGAACUAAAUAAAUCUCCCUUCUUUGUAAAUUACCCAGUCUCGGGUAUUUCUUUGCAGCAAUGCUAACAGACUAAAACAUUACUACAAUUGCAUUGAUCUUCAGAUAGAUAACAAAAGAUGAGUCAAUUGACAAACCAUUGAAAAUUAAAUGUGAGAACCAGAGUGUCAGUCACUCACAAAGAGGUCCUCAUCUCUUGCAACAAGCAGGCAGAAAAAAUGGAGAUCAUUUUCAGGGUUCAGUAGUCACAGUGGCUGAACUUCAAUGAUACCUGCAUGCUUAAUCAAGGUAGCUAUGUUAAGCCAAAUCUGGAGCCAGAGUUGGAAAAAAUCUAAGGCUUUGACACAUGGGAUAAGAAUUCUAGGUGGAUGCCUCCAAAGAUCUGGACUUCAAAGAUAUCACUAAACUUUCUAACACUGCAGAAGUGACCAACCCCUCCCUAUUCAGGGCAGGAAGACUAUCGAAGAGGCGCACGAUCAGAAACUGCCUUCCCCUCUUUUCCUCAACACCAGGCCUAUAAAUAUGGUUAAGUCACAGCACAGCUCAGCCAGGGAAAUAAGGAAAGAAUGGAACAAUACCACAAAAGAACUGCAAGAUCUAACAGACCUUCACCAACAAGGGGAGAACCAUGGUACUUGUCCUGAGGGUGCUGGACCAGGAGGCUGGUAGGCAAGGCUGGAUAAGUGAAAGUUUAUUGACCUGAUCUGGAAAGAAAAGAAAGGGAGUUUGGCAGCAGGGAGGUCUAGGGUAGAGGCAUAUUGAUAGGCAUAUGGAGUGGGCAUAAAGUGUGAAGGUCUUUGUAUCUUGUGUUAACACCUGGUCAGUAGGUAAAAUGACUCACCCAGUUGACAAAUUAGCCUACUUCUUCUGUCAGCAACCACCCCAGUGCUGGCAUGAUGCCCACAAGAACAAAGUGGCCUGGCAGCAGAGAUAAAGGCUAUGCAAAAGCCCAAGCAACGUGGAACUCAUUUACCAAGACCAACCAGAUUUACUAGUUAUAAUGUGUAACUCCUCAAAAAAAUUACAAAUCAGUGCAUAGACCAUAUACAAAUAUACCCAUACACAUUUAGAAUUAAUGUGAUAUGAUUUCAUAUUGUAAUUCCUUAAACACAAAUUCAGUCAACUCUAUAUGAAUUGAAAUAAUACCAGUAAACAAUUCAGAUAUUUAUGUCAAAUUUCAUAUGUAAUAGAGACCACGUAAACAAUCAGUAGGGAUUUGUUUAACAAUUAUAAACCUAAAACCAGUUUAA
rnacentral:lncRNA from 10 species